ACGGGACGCCAUAGAGGGUGAGAGCCCCGUCUGGUUGGAUGCCAAAUCUCUGUAAAGUUCCUUCAACGAGUCGAGUAGUUUGGGAAUGCUGCUCUAAAUGGGAGGUAUAUGUCUUUUAAAGCUAAAUACCGGCCAGAGACCGAUAGCGCACAAGUAGAGUGAUCGAAAGAUGAAAAGCACUUUGAAAAGAGAGUUAAAAAGUACGUGAAAUUGUUGAAAGGGAAGCGUUUAUGACCAGACUUGGGCUUGGUUAAUCAUCUGGGGUUCUCCCCAGUGCACUUUUCCAGUCCAGGCCAGCAUCAGUUUCCCCGGGGGAUAAAGGCGGCGGGAAUGUGGCUCUCUUCGGGGAGUGUUAUAGCCCACCGUGUAAUACCCUGGGGGGGACUGAGGUUCGCGCAUCUGCAAGGAUGCUGGCGUAAUGGUCAUCAACGACCC
rnacentral:rRNA from 1 species